GCCUGGGUGGCUCAGUCGGUUGAGCAUCUGACUUCGGCCCAGGUCAUGAUCUCAUGGUCCGUGGGUUCGAGCCCCGCAUCAGGCU
rnacentral:tRNA from 1 species